rnacentral:tRNA from 1 species
UCCCUAGUGGCUCAGACGGUAAAGCGUCUGUCUGCAAUGCAGGAGAACUGGGUUGAAUCCCUGGGUUGGGAA